GACGGAGGGUGCGAGCGUUAAUCGGAAUUACUGGGCGUAAAGCGCAUGUAGGCGGCCGAACAAGUCAGGUGUGAAAUCCUCGGGCUUAACCUGGGAAGUGCACUUGAUACUGUCCGGCUAGAGUUUGGCAGAGGAAAGUAGAAUUCCCGGUGUAGCGGUGAAAUGCGUAGAUAUCGGGAGGAAUACCAGUGGCGAAGGCGGCUUUCUGGGCCAAUACUGACGCUGAGACGCGAGAGCGUGGGGAGCAAACAGG
rnacentral:rRNA from 1 species